GUGACCUGCGGAGGAUCAUUACCGAACCGUCAACAAGGGUUGUUGCUGGUCCCUGUAUGGGGGCAUGUGCACGCUCUUGUUUACACAUCCACCCACACCUGUGCACCCUCUGUAGUUCUAUGGCCUGAGGGGGCUCUGCCCUCCUGCCAUGGCUCUACGUCUUUACACACACACCACGAAAAAGUCUCAUGGAAUGUAUGUAGCGUUUAACGCAAUGAAAUACAACUUUCAGCAACGGAUCUCUUGGCUCUCGCAUCGAUGAAGAACGCAGCGAAAUGCGAUAAGUAAUGUGAAUUGCAGAAUUCAGUGAAUCAUCGAAUCUUUGAACGCACCUUGCGCCCUUUGGCUAUUCCGAAGGGCAUGCCUGUUUGAGUAUCAUGAACACCUCAACUCUUCAUGGCUUGCUGUGAUGAGUUUGGACUUUGGGGGUCUUGCUGGCCUGCGAGCCAGCUCCUCUCAAAUGUAUUAGCUUGCCGGUGUUUGGUGGCAUCACAGGUGUGAUAACUAUCUACGCUUGUGGUCUUCCACUAGGUAACCUUCAGCAAUGGAGGUUCACCGGAGCUCAUAAAUGUCUCUCCUUGCUGAGGACAGAUUUUGACCAUUUGAUCUCAAAUCAGGUAGGACUACCCGCUGAACUUAA
rnacentral:rRNA from 1 species